CAGGGAGACAACAAAAUGUUUAAUAUUAUUAUUUUGUCACCUUAGGUCGAUCGGUAUCUCACGUUUUUAAUUUAUUAAAAAUUUCAUUUCCUAAGUUUUUCUAGGUCACACCCAUUAUUUUUCCUGGGCCAUUAGCUCAGGUGGUUAGAGCGCACCCCUGAUAAGGGUGAGGUCCCUGGUUCAAGUCCAGGAUGGCCCAUAUCUCUAUGUUGGGGGUAUAGCUCAGUUGGUAGAGCGCCUGCUUUGCAAGCAGGAUGUCAGCGGUUCGAGUCCGCUUACCUCCACUGAUUACCACCUCUUCCAUAACCGGUAGAAAGGAAAUGUUUUGAGUUGUGAUCAAAUUCUGAAAGAAUCUAGCUUCCUAAUGAAAUCAUUAAGAUGCUGGACUCAUUGAAUUAAUUUCAUUGUUUUCAGAGAACCUUGACAACUGCAUAGAUUAUUUUUAAAGACAAUAAGCAUCUUUAAUGAUGCAGAUUUAUUAUUUGUGCGAAUGCAUUAAUAACAAUUCUAUUAAGCUGAUGCUUCAAUUUUUGAAGUUAUU
rnacentral:tRNA from 1 species